UACGUAGGGGGCUAGCGUUGUCCGGAAUCAUUGGGCGUAAAGAGCGCGUAGGCGGUCCGGUAAGUCCGCUGUGAAAGUCGGGGGCUCAACCCUCGAAUGCCGGUGGAUACUGUCGGGCUAGAGUGCGGAAGAGGCGAGUGGAAUUCCUGGUGUAGCGGUGAAAUGCGCAGAUAUCAGGAGGAACACCGGUGGCGAAGGCGGGACUCUGGGCCGAUACUGACGCUGAGGAGCGAAAGCGUGGGGAGCGAACCGG
rnacentral:rRNA from 1 species